UUCACUCCUCUCCGUCAAAACUCUCUCUACUUUCUUGACUUCAGCCUUCUGUCGCUCUUCUCCCUCUCUCUGUCACACCACUCUCUUCAUUUAUCCCAAAUACCCUGUGUGCUCUCUACUGGAUCUUGCGUUCCCUUGAAUUUGGUUUCUCAAUUUUCUAAUAAAAUUCUUCCGUUUUUCUCAAAAAAAAAAAAAAAUUUUGAACUUCUGUCAAAACCACACGUCCACACCGGAGAUAGUUUGACGCGGCAGGGGCGGAGGUGGCCUAACUGUCGAGUGGAGGAUUUGUUUUUGGCUGUUGCAGCUACGGUAUGACUAAUCACUCAAACUGGACUGGUGAUGUCUUCGACGGAGUCACCUAAGAACAAGACAUCCACUACCUAGGCGGAAGAUUUUCCUCUACUUCGGCGGAAGACAUGAUGCUAUCUAGGCGGAAGUCCUGGGCUCGGAUGUUUUCUCCCCUCUUCAACGUGCUAGAAAAUGGAGAGCUAGGUUACAAAAGCCUAACGGAGCAUAGCUCAAAUGAGUAAAAUAUCAAAUUUUAAAUUACAGGUGGAUCACCAGCGAAGACCAUGUUGAACUUCUUUCGUAAUUCUCCAAUUGAAAAUGGAGGGAAAACACCUGUGAGAGAUACAAAAUAGCAAA